ACGCUCGACACCUACGGGAGGCAGCAGUGGGGAAUAUUGCACAAUGGGGGAAACCCUGAUGCAGCGACGCCGCGUGGAGGAAGAAGGUCUUCGGAUUGUAAACUCCUGUUGUUUGGGGAAAAAAGAGGAUGGUACCCAACAAGGAAGUGACGGCUAACUACGUGCCACAGCCGCGGUAAUCUGAGCGGGCUGGCAAGGC
rnacentral:rRNA from 1 species